ensembl:misc_RNA Metazoa_SRP Metazoan signal recognition particle RNA
GCUGGGCAUGGUGGCGCAUGCCUGUAAUCCCAGCUACUUGGGAGGCUGAGGCAGGAGAAUUGCUUGAACCCAGGAGGUGGAAGUUGCAGUGAGCUGAGAUCAGGCCACUGCAGUCUAGUCUGGGUGACAGAGUAAGACUCCCUCUCAA